UCUACUACCGGGUCAUCAUAGCAUAUCAAGCGCGAUACUACAACUCUAUAGUACGACACAGUACGACAUACAUGUACAGUAUAGUACAGCGUGCAGUACAUCAGUAGCCCACGAGGCGGAAGCUGUAAUGCCGUACACUUACAAUCCUACACAUCCUCUAGUGGCCGCAGCACCCUGAGGGCAGCGCACCUCACCAAGCCAUUGUGGCCGAGUGGAGCGCGCCAAGGGAAAACAUGGGGAGGGAGGUUGGUUACGGAUCACAACCAAAGAAAAGCAAUGCUGUGCGAACAUGAUCCAGGCAUGCGCAUAC
rnacentral:lncRNA from 1 species